GAUUUGAGAAUUGAAGAUCAUUAAGAUACCACAUAAAUUGAUGGGCUAUGCUUUAGCAUGAAUCAGGUCCUUUUAUUGGGUUAGACCUAGGGUUAGAAACACAUAUGGACUAAGUAGAAAAAUUAGUUAAAUCUAAUCAAGAGUUGAAUUAGAUUAGAUCAAAAUUUUUCUACAUUAACCUCAAUAGUUGAAGUUUGAUCAAGUC
rnacentral:lncRNA from 1 species